AGAGUUUGAUCCUGGCUCAGAUUGAACGCUGGCGGCAGGCUUAACACAUGCAAGUCGAGCGGUAACAGAGAUGCUUGCUAUCUGCUGACGAGCGGCGGACGGGUGAGUAAUGCUUGGGAAUAUGCCUUUGAGUGGGGGACAACAGUUGGAAACGACUGCUAAUACCGCAUAACGUCUACGGACCAAAGGGGGGGAUCUUCGGACCUCUCGCUCAUUGAUUAGCCCAAGUGAGAUUAGCUAGUUGGUAAGGUAAUGGCUUACCAAGGCGACGAUCUCUAGCUGGUUUGAGAGGAUGAUCAGCCACACUGGGACUGAGAUACGGCCCAGACUCCUACGGGAGGCAGCAGUAGGGAAUAUUGCGCAAUGGACGAAAGUCUGACGCAGCAACGCCGCGUGGGUGAUGACGCAUCUUGGUGUGUAAAACCCUGUCAGCGGGGAAGAACCGUAUAGGUAGUAACUGACCUAUGCCUGACGUACCCGCAGAGAAGUCCCGCUAACU
rnacentral:rRNA from 1 species